AUGGUUUACAAACGCUGAGCCAGAGCCCCGGACCGCCGCAAUACGCAAUACGGCCGCUUGAGCCAAAAUGACGACUGCGGUCGCACCGGCUAUUAUUCCGGGGGACCAGUUUCCUAACGUCCCCGGUUAAGGCAGCUCGGCGCCGCACCAAUCGCAGUUUCAGUGGACUGGAAACACGACUCUCUGCCACCGCUGUGUGUUACCUGAAGAACAGAAACUACUGAUUUUUAAAGCCUUUCUCAUGCAGGCAGACCUGAUGAGACUGUGAGAUGCACAUCCUGCACAAUAACAAGCCCCUGAGGUCCAUCUAAAGGCGGUAUAAACAGCACGGAGAGCUGAGGGCACAUAGGCUGUGUGGCCUGGACCCCUGCUCCUCUCCUGUGGGUCUCGUCCAGCUCUGAGCACCGCAGACACUCUGCCAAUGAGGCGACUGGGCUCUACGUGGGAACCGGCCACCCAGAGCACACACUUGGCUCUCCUUGCUCAAAGCUCCCUGUUCACCUGUCCCAGCAGGGAGUGCUUCUCAGCCUGCCUGCAGCAACUCAGACUGCAUAUUUGGAGUGGCGAAGGUGAGGGGGCUGCGCUGGGCAGCUCUUAUGCAAGACACAGGCGACAUUUAGUGGGUCAUAUAAACAAGUUUGCCUUCAUUAAA